AUUAUUGAAGUGAUAAGGUUUUCAUAAGUCAAAAGGUGAAAUGAUGAGAUGAAAGGUGUCAACUUUUGACAAUAAGGCUAAAUCAUUGAAAAUAAGGAAUUUUCAUCAAACCUUAUCACUUUGCACGACCAUUAUUCUGAAAAACAGAGAGAAAAGAAAACCAAAAACCAUUUCUUGGCUGGUUUGAAGAAAUUCUAAGGAGAUCCAAGUGAAAGCAAAGCCAAAGAAGUAGAUUAAGCUUAGUUCUAGCCUUUUUAUGGUAAGUUCUUGUACUUGGAAGUUAAACUAUGUUUUUGAAUUUUUCUGAGAACUUAUAUAUGGUGUUUUAUCAUUUUUAAGAUAUUUCUUGGGGUUUCCAAGUGGUUUGAGGUUUAGAAAAGCUUGAAGAGAUUGUUUUCGCCGAAAAGUUGCUCGGAUAAGCACAUCAAUACCUAAGACAUCACUUGUUACACGGUGAAAUAUAUUGUGGACAAAAGGUAAGUAAAGUACUCAACUGCAACACAAGAAUUAUGUGUUAUGUGAAAGUAUGCAUUAUAUGAAUAUUUUGUGAGUAAGUGGUAUUAACAUACAGUGACACUUCAUCAUAAAUUUGUAUGCAUGGCAUAAUAGUGAUAUGGUAAAUUAUUAUAUGAUAUAAGACCAUGCAUGAUAUUAUGAUGAUUAAUUAUAUAAUGCCUUUGCAAGUUUUGUGCAACAUAAAAGAAAGUUGUAAUAAGAAGUUUAAGUUCAGUGCCACUGUUUUGAAAAGGCAAAUGAAAGUGUUAAUAAGUGUAAACGGAUGCCUAUAGUAGGCUUAUAGUGGCUGCCCAAUAAUUUGGGCUAGGUUUAGUGAACCAAUUAUAUUGUUUGCCAUAUUUCCGUUUUUAUUCUCCUCCAUAUGAGUUAUUGUUAUAUGUAUUGACACCACAGUGUGUGGCCGCCUUAACUCUUGAGCCUGACGGGGCAACGAUGGAAUAAGGAUUUUAAUGUGCCCUACUGUGGUGAAGGCUAGCCGGAGGAGAACCCAUGGGAUUUUGUAUUAUAUGUGUAACAAGCCCUGCAGGCAUUGACCAAUUCAAACAGUGUGCACAAUAUUAAGGGGCCCAAAAUUUAAAAAAAAAGAAGUUGUAUAUGUCCAUUGAUAUUGGGUAAUCAUUAGCAUUGCAUGCAUUACUUUGCUUACUGAGCUUUAGGCUCACAGU